GGUAUUGUAGCAUAGGGUAAUGUACCGUGGAUUAGUGAGGCCUGUUGUACCUCACCUGCAGAGGUUCCAGGUUCAACUCCUGGCAGUGUCA